rnacentral:rRNA from 1 species
UACGUAGGGUGCGAGCGUUAAUCGGAAUUACUGGGCGUAAAGCGUGCGUAGGCGGUUCGUUAAGUGCGUCGUGAAAGCCCCGGGCUCAACCUGGGAAUGGCAUUGGAUACUGGCGAGCUAGAGUGCGGUAGAGGGUAGUGGAAUUCCCGGUGUAGCAGUGAAAUGCGUAGAGAUCGGGAGGAACAUCUGUGGCGAAGGCGACUACCUGGGCCAGCACUGACACUGAGGCACGAAAGCGUGGGGGAGCAAACAGG